AUUGAACGCUGGCGGCAGGCUUAACACAUGCAAGUCGAGCGGGGGAAGGUAGCUUGCUACCGGACCUAGCGGCGGACGGGUGAGUAAUGCUUAGGAAUCUGCCUAUUAGUGGGGGACAACAUCUCGAAAGGGAUGCUAAUACCGCAUACGUCCUACGGGAGAAAGCAGGGGAUCUUCGGACCUUGCGCUAAUAGAUGAUCCUAAGUCGGAUUAGCUAGUUGGUGGGGUAAAGGCCUACCAAGGCGACGAUCUGUAGCGGGUCUGAGAGGAUGAUCAGCCACACUGGGACUUAAACACGGACCAGACUCCUACGGGAGGCAGCAGUGGGGAAUAUUGGACAAUGGGGGGAACCCUGAUCCAGCCAUGCCGCGUGUGUGAAGAAGGCCUUAUGGUUGUAAAGCACUUUAAGCGAGGAGGAGGCUACUUUAGUUAAUACCUAGAGAUAGUGGACGUUACUCGCAGAAUAAGCACCGGCUAACUCUGUGCCAGCAGCCGCCGUAA
rnacentral:rRNA from 1 species